rnacentral:ncRNA from 2 species
UAGUGACCCUUAUCAAGAGGUUCUCCGGAUGACACACCAUCCGGGGAGUAAAUGGGAACGUGACGGGUGGACCCAGUGCGGCACCUUCAUCACGGCCGACCCCGCGACUGUAGAGCGGUCAGGGUCUUUCAUGCCGGGCGACCGGUAGAAGCCACUGCGGAGACGAGGCAACUCCGAUCUGCGGGAAGGCGAGAAAGAUCCGACGAUGCCAGCCGGCAUCAGACGCCGCGAGCCAGGACACCUGCCGCUUGAUGUCGGGCAUU